GACGAACGCUGGCGGCGUGCUUAACACAUGCAAGUCGAACGGCGACGCGCCUUCCUUUUUGGCGGGUGUGGAGGAGUGGCGAACGGGUGAGUAACACGUGAGUAACCUGCCCUCUUCUUCUGGAUAACCGCAUGAAAGUGAGGCUAAUACGGGAUAUUCUGUAUCUGUCGCAUCAUGGGUCCGUGGAAGCUAUUGCUUCGGUGGGGGCUGGUCUCGCGUCCUAUCAGGUUGUUGGUGGGGGCCUGGCCUACCAAGGCGGUGACGGGUAGCCGGGCUGAGGGGGUGGACGGUCACACGGGGAGUGAGACACGGCCCAGACUCCUACGGGAGGCAGCAGUGGGGAAUGUUGCACAAUGGGGGCAAGCCUGAUGCAGCGACGCCGCGUGAGGGAUGGAGGCCUUCGGGUUGUGAACCUCUUUCGCCAGUGAAGCAGGCCUGCCUCGUUUGUGGGUGGGUUGACGGUAGCUGGAUAAGAAGCGCCGGCUAACUACGUG
rnacentral:rRNA from 1 species